rnacentral:rRNA from 1 species
GCAAGUCGAGCGGUAGAGAGAAGCUUGCUUCUCUUGAGAGCGGCGGACGGGUGAGUAAUGCCUAGGAAUCUGCCUGGUAGUGGGGGAUAACGUUCGGAAACGGACGCUAAUACCGCAUACGUCCUACGGGAGAAAGCAGGGGACCUUCGGGCCUUGCGCUAUCAGAUGAGCCUAGGUCGGAUUAGCUAGUUGGUGAGGUAAUGGCUCACCAAGGCGACGAUCCGUAACUGGUCUGAGAGGAUGAUCAGUCACACUGGAACUGUAGACACGGUCCAGACUCCUACGGGAGGCAGCAGUGGGGAAUAUUGGACAAUGGGCGAAAGCCUGAUCCAGCCAUGCCGCGUGUGUGAAGAAGGUCUUCGGAUUGUAAAGCACUUUAAGUUGGGAGGAAGGGCAGUUACCUAAUACGUGAUUGUUUUGACGUUACCGACAGAAUAAGCACCGGCUAACUCUGUGCCAGCAGCCGCGGUAAUACAGAGGGUGCAAGCGUUAAUCGGAAUUACUGGGCGUAAAGCGCGCGUAGGUGGUUAGUUAAGUUGGAUGUGAAAUCCCCGGGCUCAACCUGGGAACUGCAUUCAAAACUGACUGACUAGAGUAUGGUAGAGGGUGGUGGAAUUUCCUGUGUAGCGGUGAAAUGCGUAGAUAUAGGAAGGAACACCAGUGGCGAAGGCGACCACCUGGACUGAUACUGACACUGAGGUGCGAAAGCGUGGGGAGCAAACAGGAUUAGAUACCCUGGUAGUCCACGCCGUAAACGAUGUCAACUAGCCGUUGGGAGCCUUGAGCUCUUAGUGGCGCAGCUAACGCAUUAAGUUGACCGCCUGGGGAGUACGGCCGCAAGGUUAAAACUCAAAUG